UUUUGUUCGUUUUGUUGUUUGUUUGAUAGAGACGAGGUCUCGCUAUGUUGUCCAGGCUGGUCUCUAACUCAAAGGAUCCUCUCACCUAGGCCUCCGAAACUGCUGGGAUGACAGGUGUAAGCCACCGCGCCCGGCCCCUCGCCAGCCUUUUGAAGGAGCCUUUCGUCCUCAAGGCCAAGGGCAAGGCCACCCCCUCCCCGCGAGUUCCAUGCCCCCUAGAGGGUCACAGUUCCAGACGGGGAGGUGGCGCCCUCCCCUAGGCCCCGGGCCCCGACCGCCCGGUGCCGCCUCCUUCCGGGCCCUCCCCGUGAUGACGGCGUUGCGGGCAGGCCGGGCGGACUAGGCGGGGCUCCGAGCGGGGACUGGGACCCAGACGGGCUCGGGGACGGGGAGCAAGCGGCGUGGCCAUGGCGGGCUGCUGCGCCGCGCUGGCGGCCUUCCUGUUCGAGUACGACACGCCGCGCAUCGUGCUCAUCCGCAGCCGCAAAGUGGGGCUCAUGAAUCGCGCCGUGCAGCUGCUCAUCCUGGCCUACGUCAUCGGGUGGGUGUUUGUGUGGGAAAAGGGCUACCAGGAAACUGACUCCGUGGUCAGCUCCGUUACGACCAAGGUCAAGGGCGUGGCUGUGACCAACACUUCUAAACUUGGAUUCCGGAUCUGGGAUGUGGCGGAUUAUGUGAUACCAGCUCAGGAGGAAAACUCUCUCUUCGUCAUGACCAACAUGAUCCUCACCAUGAACCAGACCCAGGACCUGUGUCCCGAGAUUCCAGAUGAGACCACUGUGUGUAAAUCAGAUGCCAACUGUACUGCUGGCUCUGCCGGCACCCACAGUAAUGGAGUCUCAACAGGCAGAUGCGUACCUUUCAAUCAGUCCAUCAAGACGUGUGAGGUGGCAGCCUGGUGCCCAGUGGAGGAUGACACACACGUGCCACAACCUGCUUUUUUAAAGGCUGCAGAAAACUUCACUCUUUUGGUUAAGAACAACAUCUGGUAUCCCAAAUUUAAUUUCAGCAAGAGGAAUAUCCUUCCCAACAUCACCACUACUUACCUCAAGUCAUGCAUUUAUGACGCUAAAACAGAUCCCUUCUGCCCCAUAUUCCGUCUUGGCAAAAUAGUGGAGAAUGCAGGACACAGCUUCCAGGACAUGGCCGUGGAGGGAGGCAUCAUGGGCAUCCAGGUCAACUGGGACUGCAACCUGGACAGAGCCGCCUCCCUCUGCUUGCCCAGGUACUCCUUCCGCCGCCUCGAUACACGGGAUGUCGAGCACAACGUGUCUCCUGGCUACAAUUUCAGGUUUGCCAAGUACUACAGAGACCUGGCUGGCAAGGAGCAGCGCACGCUCACCAAGGCCUACGGCAUCCGCUUCGACAUCAUCGUGUUUGGGAAGGCAGGGAAAUUUGACAUCAUCCCCACCAUGAUCAACAUCGGCUCUGGCCUGGCACUGCUGGGCAUGCCCCCAGCCCUCCUUCCACCUUCCCUUCACCAAGACCACACCCCUUGGGUCCCAGCCUUCUCCCAAGAGAUGGAGGUGCCUUUCCAUUCCGGUCAAGAUUCCAGGCUUCUCAGGAAGGGGCACGCAAAGAAUAAGAGGGGCUGCAAUCCUGGCUCACUCUUACCCUGUGCUAAAUUCAGGCGACCGUGCUGUGUGACAUCAUAGUCCUCUACUGCAUGAAGAAAAGACUCUACUAUCGGGAGAAGAAAUAUAAAUAUGUGGAAGAUUAUGAGCAGGGUCUUGCUAGUGAGCUGGACCCGUGAGGCCUACCCCACACCUGGGCUCUCCAGGGCCCCAUCGAAGAACAGAGAGGAGGAGGAGGGAGAAAUGGCCACCACAUCACCCCAGAGAAGGUUCUGGAAUCUGAUUGAGUCUCCACUCUGCAAGUACUCAGGGUUCCCCAGCAGCUCCUGUGUGUUGUGUGCAGGAUCUGUUUGACCACUCGGCCCAGGAGGUCACCAAUCUGUUCUUGGCUGGGUCAACUCUAUUAUUCCCACAACCUGGGGUUGUGGGGGGGAGCACUGGCCCAAGGAAGUGGCACUGCUGUGACUUUCAGGGCUGGAGCUGGCUUUGCUCAGAAGCCUCCUGUCUCCAGCUCUCUUCUGGACAGGCCCAGUCCUCUGAGGCACGGCGGCUCUGUUGGAGCACUUUAUGUGGCAGGGGAGGCCGCCUGGUUGCAGUCAUUGGACUUGUAGCAGGCCUGGGCUGCAGGCUUCCCCCAACCAUUCCCUGCAGCCAUGAGGCAGAGCUGGCAUUUCUCCUCAGAGAAGUGCUGUGCUGAAGUGAUCGAGGACCAGACAUUAAAGCCUGAUUUUCUUAA